UACGUAGGGUGCGAGCGUUAAUCGGAAUUACUGGGCGUAAAGCGUGCGCAGGCGGUUCGUUAUGUCCGAUGUGAAAGCCCCGAGCUUAACUUGGGAAUGGCAUUGGAAACUGGCGGGCUGGAGUGCGGCAGAGGGGGGUGGAAUUCCACGUGUAGCAGUGAAAUGCGUAGAGAUGUGGAGGAGCACCGAUGGCGAAGGCAGCCCCCUGGGCCGACACUGACGCUCAGGCACGAAAGCGUGGGGAGCAAACAGG
rnacentral:rRNA from 1 species